rnacentral:rRNA from 1 species
UUAAAUUGAAGAGUUUGAUCAUGGCUCAGAUUGAACGCUGGCGGCAGGCCUAACACAUGCAAGUCGAACGGUAACAGGAAGCAGCUUGCUGCUUCGCUGACGAGUGGCGGACGGGUGAGUAAUGUCUGGGAAACUGCCUGAUGGAGGGGGAUAACUACUGGAAACGGUAGCUAAUACCGCAUAAUGUCGCAAGACCAAAGAGGGGGACCCUCGGGCCUCUUGCCAUCGGAUGUGCCCAGAUGGGAUUAGCUUGUUGGUGGGGUAACGGCUCACCAAGGCGACGAUCCCUAGCUGGUCUGAGAGGAUGACCAGCCACACUGGAACUGAGACACGGUCCAGACUCCUACGGGAGGCAGCAGUGGGGAAUAUUGCACAAUGGGCGCAAGCCUGAUGCAGCCAUGCCGCGUGUAUGAAGAAGGCCUUCGGGUUGUAAAGUACUUUCAGCGGGGAGGAAGGGAGUAAAGUUAAUACCUUUGCUCAUUGACGUUACCCGCAGAAGAAGCACCGGCUAACUCCGUGCCAGCAGCCGCGGUAAUACGGAG